UCCUUCUCGCACUCGCAGCCGGCGCUGCAACACGAGCGCGCGUUUUACUUUUCGAAGCCGGCGAGGAGGCCUACGAAUAUGUAAUCCUGGAUACGGGUGUACGCGUACGUGCAAGGGGACGUGUUUGCGCCACGAAUACUAUCGCGAGUCGACGUAUCUCUCGAACUUACGCAGAAAUCGUAACGAGAUAAUGCUCUGUAAAUUGAAAAUUCACUUCUACCGGAUCCCGAAUCUCGUUUGCGAAGGGAAAGCGGGUUGAACGACUCGGAAGGAAACACCCAGAGACAGAGUUGAAUUAACGUAGUCAGAAAUGGCGUUCGUGGAUCGGCACGAAGGAAACUGAACUCUUGUCUAUUUUUUUAUGCUUCGAUGCUUCGUACUGGCUGAUGUCCACGGAAACAUCUCAAUCUCGUACCCCGUAUCACGUGGGAAACCUUUUCGAUGUUCGAUUAUAUGCACGAUACGUUGUUGAAAAUUUUCGUGUGUCUCUCUAUCGCUUUGACGUAGUAGUUGGCAGCGUAAUACGUAAUACAGUGAGUGUACGUGCCCGAUUCCACGUCUCUAUUUCUAAUUAGCAAUGACUCAACUCGAGACGUAUGGUCGCAUGCCAAUGAUAAGCGGAUGUACAAUAUUUUGCGCGUAUUCUAGUUGUCGUAGAAGUACGUCCAAGUAUUUACUUGUAGUCCUAUAUACAAUUUCGAACAAGGACACGAAACAUUCUAAAAACCGAGCACGAAUUCCCUUCGAAGCGUUAUAUGUCGCGUAUUCUUGCGGUCAGUAAAUACGCUGCUCUGGUGACAGUGUAUACAUGCUCGCUACACUCUGUUUUUCCCGAAUGUAACUUCUCUCGUGUGUACUCUCGCUUCCAGGGAUCACCGGUAUGAAACACAACCGUAUGCGUUUCACGAGGUGUAAAUAUUUACGCCGCUGGCCCUUGGAUAUAUUACAUCGAAAUUCUAGAGAGAACGGUCGCGGUUCUUUUUGCGUCGCGAACUUAACCUCUUCUGUACGCGCCGUAUUUUCGCGACGCGAGUUUUUUUUACGCUGUUCGCGCCUUAAUAUCGUACUCGUUAUAAAUUUCGAUGACACAUCGAGCGUAAUGUUCGUUCCUGCCGCGAUCGCGAAUCUCUUUCGAAUAUACGUGGACGUGAACUCGUGUGUACUGUUCGUGAGAAUAAAAAUUCGUGGACAACGAUCCCGCAAUAGCGUUAUUUUCAAUGUCGCAGUCGUACCAACUGUUCGAGAAAGAAUGCAGUCACACGAUGAAAUUUAUUUGGAAUCGAAACGCUAUUCUGGACUUGUGACGCGAUGACGUGAAUACGUAGUCCGCAGCUGGACCAGCUGAAGAGGCAGAAGAAAGGAACAACGAAGAAGCAUCGCAGAGGUGCAGAAUCCGAAGAAUGCUUCGUCAUCUUGAAGAACCGCUCCAGAGAUUCAUGCCGGACGUAGACAAAUGCGCGGUUACCGAUCCUGAUUCCACGAUAUAGCUGGCGAAGUCAGAAAGUCAGGGACGUCGAUUACAAAAGGAAUCCGAAGGAUGGAGUGACGACGAGCCUCGCGGUAAUUGGAUUUUUUCCCGCUUUCGAAUAGCAAGCAAUUCAUUAGGGGUCUGUUUGCGCGGCGUGGUUCAAGAACCCUCGAUCAAACCUCUUUCUCUCUCGCUCCGUCUCGGCCGAAAACGAGAGUGGAAAUUUACACGUGCUCCUGGUCGCGAACUGGCUACUCAAACAGGCCUUUGUGUACAGCCGGCCGGUAAACACGGAUGCCAUUAAUUGCCAUUAAUUCAGCCGCGUUAUGGAGAAGUUUCGACGAACCCGCCCACUGAAAAUUCAGACUUCUCCAACCCCUUGCACGCCCUUUCGUAGCCGACGUUUAGAUUGGGUCGGUUCCAGAUACUCUGGGGUCUGUCGAGAGGCUACGUCGCGCUUGCCCUUCGACCGACUUUGCCGAAACGUGCUUCUCGAGUUUUGCAGCUGGAAAUUUACGUUAGACAAUCGCGCGACCUCCAAAUUUUCUAAACUCAAAUUAGAUUUGAGAAUUCUCUGGAUUCGUGAAAUACAGUUAGAGAAACUGGGACAUGAACGCCGAGGAUCCCUAGAGAUCGUAGAUUUUGUAAUUUGACGGUAUUGCGAGCUGUAUCGAGUUUACGCGAGAAAUUUCCAAGUGUCCGUUUAAUUUACAAAGUUGCUACUAACGCUGUGAAAGAAACUCUGAUAGCGCUAAAGUCUGAGAAAAUAAGAAGGCGAAACGGUGAUGCAGUCUACCGAGAUAACCAUAAUCGGCGAAGGGCAUGAAAUUAAGCACGGUCAAAGUCUUCCAUCCCUAGCUCGUACGUUCUUUUUCGAGCUAUUACGACGAACUGGCUCCGACCCUGACAAUAAUAACAGUAACAAUAACACGAAAUCGUGGAGCGGUCUGAUAUGAAUAUGUAUCAGGUACAUCUGUUGCCUCGUAGACCUUUCGCCGUUAUGAGACGAGAAAGGGUGCAGACGCGAUUCAAUAUCGGUCCGGCAUCUUCGCCAGAAGUUGCCAACGCGGGACUAAUUUCCUACCAGCACCGUUUUAUCUCCGACUCGUCCAACCUGCAUGAACAGCCACGUCCCACGACCAACGCUUCGAUCGACGUUUGAAUCCUGCGAUCGAAGGGACGAUAUAUAGUAUUUAAUUAAGUGAUUUCGAUAAAUAAUCACGGUGGGGUAAGCGCAAAGGGUGCAUGGGGUUCGUACUUUGUCUUUUAUGUUUCAUACUUGGAGGGUGAAAACGAGGGCAAUUUUGUCUUGCUGAUAUGCAAAUCGAGUUUAUGCAGAUGCGCGUCAGCGGCUAUAAUCGUUGUCAAUUUGUUUUCGUACGUUUCAACGAUUCUACUCGUGUUCGAGCUACAAAUUGAUAAAGCAAAUUUAACGAAACAGAAAGUAAAAUUUGACUCCUGGUUGACUAUUUUUAAGAUUCGUCGGAUCGAACAGGCCACGUCCAUCGACUUUUCCCCUCCGAAAAAUGAUCUUUUUAAACGUCUUUCGACAAGGACGGAAGGCACAUCGCGGAAAGAUUUUAUCGAAGCGGGGAUAGAAGGCUUCGUCGCCGGCCUUUCGGCAACAAAUUAAGGAUUUUAAGCCGAAAGUAAUUAGUCCCGGCGAACAAGGUGUCACUCCGUGAAAACGAGGAGACGGCGAGUCAGCCUUCAUUGUUCUCGCCAUAAUCCCCGGGGAGGACGUUCAUAAGUUCCUUCUUCUCUUAGUCCUCGGUGAAGAAAACGGCUGGAAAGGAUGAUUUCGCUUUCCGGCCAGAUUAAUCGCCCUAUCGACCGUCUCCUCUUUUUUCCCCUUUUUCUCGUCUGCUUUCUGAACAAAGUGGACGUAUCUCGGCACGUUGGCUCGAAAACGACUUCUUAUUAACCUUCUUAGUUACAGUGGUUCCCGCGUUGCAUUGGUCUUAACAGACGUAAAUAACGCGUACCGUACCGACUUUAGUAUUUAAGACUUUGAUCGUUACACGAUCAACGAAAAAAUACCGACCGGUCGAUAGUAUCGAAGCUUUUGAAGAUUCGUCGAUAUCUUGAACGAGCAAUUAGACGCUCGAGUAGCACAGACGAAUUUACUUUCCUCCGCCGACUCGACGCAAAAGAGAUAAGAAUCGCGGAGAACAAGAGGAUUCUGGAGAAUCGUGCGAUCGGUUACGCGUGGAAGGAUCACGAUCGAUUACCGUGAAACUGGAAAUUGAAUUACCGGAUACGAUCUUUCCCUCUCUAUUGUUCUCUCUUGUAGAGCGGCGGAACUUGACGCGAUAAUCUUAUUUAGCCUUUCUACUCGGCCAAAUGGAUUAUUUCGGCCGGCGAUGAAAGCCUCCCGUUCGAAAAUCGCGGAUCCUCUUUAGUUACUCCGUCGACGCAGUUAGUUAAUUAAAAGGUAAAGAGAGAGAGAGAGGAGAAGGAGAAAACCGGCAACGAUAGAGAGAAGAGGAACGAAGAGGUAAAAGGCUGGCCAGACAGCUUGGAAUUUGUAUCCCGAUCGCGGCGUACGACCCUUUCUGCUUCGAACCGCUGCCAUUGCAUCGGGACGGCGAGUGUUUGCACCGGUUUAUUUGCGAUUUCGACGUGUCCGAAGUUAAUUCGAAAUGUGCUCGUCUAUCCUGCGUAGUUAUUACCACCGCCUUUCUCUUUAAAGCCGAUGGCAUCUAAUUUAAAGGGCGACAUACGCACAGAGAUUAAUGUAUCGCCCUCGUACGUUAAUAUACGUGUUUUUAAACGAAUUUUUGUAUAUACGAGAGGUCGACGAGAAAAAGGGGGGAACGUCAGUUUUGACGAAUUUCCAGCUUAAUAUUUUUUUCACACGCUCUUGCCUGCGCUCUUUGCCACUGGUUACGUCGCAUUAAUUUCAAUCAACAUUUUCAGGCUUUUUUACUGCGGUUAUAAGAAAUUGAGGUGUACAACGUGCUUCUCAUAUUUUGCAGUUUAACGCGUAUACAUGUAAUAUGAUAAUAAUAAAAUUAAAAAUGGUACAGAAUAAAAUGUUGAUAUAUCUACGAGGAAAUACGAGGUCGUGAUUAUUUUCGAAAUUAUGUAUCGAAAAGUAAAUUUUCGUUCUCCGAGAAAAUGAUAUGAAACCGUUCCCACUCUCUCACUGCGAUGAAAAUGAAAAUCAAAUCGAUUCGUCGAAUGACUCUUCUUAAACAGAUUCUCAACAAAGUGACCUUUCCAACGAGCUCAAAAACAUAUCCUUCUUUAACGUUGGCCGAACUUCAUUUUAUUUUUUCCCAUUUUACUCAACAAUGCAGUAUCAUUGUACGAUCAAAAAAAAUAUUAAUAAUUUUACAGGAGAGGAAUCGAUAGAAUUCGCGAGGAAUAUGACGAGCUAUCGCGAGGCAACCCUUCGAGGAGGGCACCCUUUCAAAUGCUACAGUCGAGCCGCUUAACUAUGUAUUUCACCCUCCCUAAAACUCAACAAAUUUUACGAAGAAUCCGCCAACUGUGCCUCCCAGUAAUAUAUGCGGAAGCCUGACAAAGGCACAUUAACAUUUAUAUUUGCGAAGACGCGGCCGAUCGCGAGUCCCCGAUACCGCUACGACUUCCGUUAUGGAAUUGCUAAUGAUAAGCACCGUGGAAGGGCUGAAAAACGUUUAUUUCAUGGGUGUAACAACACGAGUCGCUCUAUUGCCCAAACAGCGCGAGCAAAAUAUUCGACGCUUGGAAUGCGAACUUUUUCGUGAGGGAAUAAAAACAGGUAUGAGAGUAUAGUAACGUAGCGAUUUGGAGGACUGUAAUCGAAUUCCAUUCGGUAUUUCCGCGGCUACGCUCGGUUACAUGGUCGGUAAUGGCUUCGGCAAAAAGCUUGUCCAACGAAAAGCAGUCUGAAAUUAAAUUAUCUCGUGUCGAGACGCUAACGAUGAUAAACUCUGAGGGAAUGAAAACUUUGCAAACAUGACAAAUUUUUUACGUAUUUCAUAUGGAUUAAUAGACGAGAAUGUAGAUUAUAAAAUGAACAAUACAAAAAAAAAUGACAAACCAAAAUAUAAAUAAAUAAAUAAUAGGAAUCUCCUGUAAGAAAAAUGAAGGAGAACGAGAGUAUUCCGUGUCGUGAUCGGCUCUUUAAAUAUUACAUGCGAGAAUCGGUUGGAUCGCAGGCGCGUGCAAAUGCAUCGGAACGAGAGUCGACGAGAGAAAAGAGAAUGGCCAAAAAGGAAUAGCAGGGCUCCGACGUUGAAAAUAAGCGGCUGGUUCAAGGGGUUGCGUUUAUAAGCCACGGGCUUUUUUGUAGUGCAAAUGAAUAGGUCCGACCCUCGUUCGUCGUAGGGAGCCGAGUGUCCGAAACUUUUGCAAUUUUACGCGGCGGCUGCUCGGUGCAUUUAUUUUCCUGAAAAAUUUAAACUCCCUCUCUGCUGCUCCUACAUAUGUGUGCGAGGUACUCUGCUUUUUUUCUCUUCCAAUUACGAAACGAACGGGACGAAAAGGAUCUUGAAAGCAGAUCGCGCGCGAUGAAAGCUCGAUGACGCUCGCUACGCUACGUUUUGUUCCCUCUGGAAAAGCCAGAUCGUAUCGCCAAGGAUAAUCCCAACGGAGGCGGAUAAGACAGCGGGAAGACACGAAGGCUGCUUCUACAUCGAUGAGUUGCGAAUCUAUUUGGCUUAUCUUUUAAACGGAGUAUCGCAUCCAGAUAAAGAAAGAACGCCUCAUCCAUAUCAAUGCAGAGAAGUUGGAUAGACGAUGAAAAAGGAACGCCGACCCCUCGAACCGAUCACGUAUACUCGUCUCCCCCGGGUUUCGACCCUUUCGCCUUUGGGAAUCGUUCUGACUCUUCGUUUACUUUCGAUUUCAAUUAAACGUCGCUAUUUUUUUACUAUCCAAAAGCUCCUCGUCGUUCUCUGACUAGAGGCAGGGUUGAAAAAUGAAGAACAACGUGCCUUCUUCUUGCCGGAAUCUUUAUUACAAAUUUCAGCUUGCUAGAAUAACAAGAAUAAUUAGUCUUAUCAAAUACAGCGAAUGAAAACAGUCAUGUGAAACCGUCUUAACAAUUAAGCUGAUGUAUCUCGUUCGAGACGAUAUCUUUUAUUAUUCACGAUCGUUCGAACAUUUCGGUGACAAUAUUCGGUGAAUAGUAUUCUCCUAUUAAUUAUGCUAUGUAAUAGUUGCUCAACAAUUUGUAGAAUAUUCCUCAAAAUAAUUAGAGGAUUAAAUUUCAGGUA